ACUUAUGAAUUGUUAUACUGUUGUUGAAAUUACUAAAUCGCCAAAUAGCUAUACUGUAUUUUAAAAAUAUAAAUCGCUCUCAGCGGGACUACGCGUUUAAGUCACUCGUUUCGGACACCGAUUUUCGACGUUAAAAGUAAUAUUUCGAAAUUCCACACCUUUUUAAACUAUAUAUUCAUAUUACAGUGGUCGUAUUCUGUCGUCGGAAGUCUAGAUACGUCAAACACGGAAAUAUUUUCAAACACAUAACAUGUCGCUUAGUUAGGUACGUAUUGUACGGCGCCAGAAAUUCGACGUUGUGGUCGAUCGGUUUUUCUACGCGCGUUUCGUACGCGUGUUUCAUACGUGAUGGAUACCUACAGGUUACACUCAAUAAGCCAAGGCAAUUGAUCUAUAUAUUUAUAACAAGUAACAACAUAGUCUGUACUGUACUGUAGAUUGGGAAAGAUGGUUUAGGUGGGAGACGUGUUCGAGCCAUCCGAACGCGAUACCCGUCAGCGACGCUCGAACACCGAUCAUUUUUCUACCGUCAUUAAUCGAGUCAGCACGUCACUCUUCGAAAACCAUUCUGUUUUACACAUUUCGGCAAGCAGAAUUUAAGCGAGGAAUCGUGAUUAUAACAUCACUUACUGGGAAUAUUGCUUGGAAAAUGACCGGGGAUAAAUACGAUCUCAAGCGGUAUAUUAUACGCACCUGCCAAGAUGCGAAUGAGUCCUUUAAUCGCAUUUAUCAUACAGAGGGGACUUAUAACGAACUGCGGCCACGUUUCAGUAAUGUGUCGAGAUGUUUUGAAUUGUUAUUAUAUACUCUUUGUACUUCGGAAGUGAGCGACGACGAAAUAUUUUCGAUACUUACUCAUUUAAUUUAUGAAGCUUAUGAAGACGACAACAACACCGACAGGAUGAAUGACGAUAUUAAAACAAGCAUUUAGGAGGUACAUAUUAUUAUUGUUAUAUUGUAAUUUUCUAUACAUUAGGACAUUAUGAUUAAAUAUACACUUUAAUUUUUAGAGUUGAACAUUUGUGUAAACUAUUAUAGCAUGUAUAUAAAAUGUGUAUAACACACACAUAGAUAAUAGGUAUAAUAUAUUAUAAUAGAUAUAAAUAUUUUUACUGCGAUGGGCUAUUUAGUGAAUGAUUCAUACCAAUUUUUCAUUAUUUAUUCAUAUUAAUUAUUAAAAUAACUAUCACAGGAUUCAUCUAAAAACCAUUUAUUUAAUUUUCCUUAAUUCAUAGAUGUAAAAUAAAUGAUUAGGUAGUAGCAAAUUUUCCAAAAAUAGUUUUAGUUUUUAAUGUAUUAUUUUCUAAAAUUAGUUUUAAAAUAAACCAGCGUAGUGAAUAAAAAAAAAAAAACCACAUUAAAAUAAUAUAAUAAUAAUAUUACAAUAUUGCUACUCAAAUAGUUUCAAAAUACGUGGUAUUUUUAUUUAUUUAAAUUGGAGGAGGAGACAGAAUCGCGAAAAAACUACUCACUUAUAAUUAAUUCAUAUUCUAUUUUUUAUUACAUCAUAGGAACAAUAGAAUCAUAGUCAAAAUAUUUUCAUACUUAUCAUUAAAAAUAUAAAUAUAAUAAUUUAUUCCGUCACUUGAAUAAAACAAUUUGUGAAUUUUAUAAAAAGGACAAUUUCAAUCAAUGCUAUAACAACCAGCUAGAGAAUAAUAAUAUAAAAAGCAUUUAUCUCGACGAUUGCAUAGGUAGUUUAAUAAUUUUCUCAAAUUUUUAUCACCGUGUUUUUAAAACACACUUAUAGAAAAUAAAACUAUUUUAUGUAAAUGUCAUCAAUAUUUUUAUUAGAAUUAGUACAAAUCUGUAUCGUAAUUUAAGUCCUUAGUGUCAUUAAUAAGAGAAUCUCGAACAACCCGAUGAAACUGCUUAGCCGAAGCGUGGUUUUUCUGCAAAUUACCCGCUUUGUUGCUUUCGGUUGAUCAACCCUUAGUUAUUUAACCAAUAUCUAGAUUAGAUUUUAUAGUUAAAAAUGUAAAUAUAUUUUAGAUUAGUUUAUCGUUUAGGUAGUAUAGUAUAAUAAAUCAUUUUGUUUACACCUUGUAAUAUAUUUAGUUGUAAGUGGUUAAUUUAAAUUAAUUCCUAAGUAGUAGGUAGUUUUUUUUUAGAUUUUAUAGAGUUAAUUAUUCUAAGAUUAGCUCUGAAAUGGACCAACACAGUUAUUUUGCUACAUAUUACCUAACACGUUGAGUCCAUUUUAAUCAUGUAGUAUAUUCUUUACAAAAAGUUUGAUCUCAAUCACGAUAUUAAUUUUCUGCUCGCCCAAAGUGUGGUUAUAACCCACUUUGUCGGUCUUUAUAGUUGGUAUCCUUUAACGUUUAUAAAAGAUUAAGAUGAUGGUUAAGUUAAUUUUUUUAGGAGUGUUUUAAGAGUACCAUACUAUUUUUAUUUAUUAUGUAAUUAAAUGACUCAAAAUUUAUUGUAAGGAAAGUUCAGUGAUCAAUUUGUGAUACAACUGCUAAGCCAAAGCGUGGUUUUUCUGCAAAUUACCCGCUUUGUUGCUUUCGGUUGAUCAACGCUUAUUUAUUAAAUCAAUAUCCAGAUUAGAUUUUACAGUUAAAAAUUUGAAUAUAUUUUAGAUUAGUGUAUCACUUAGGUAGUAUAGUAUUAUAAUUUUUUCUGAAAAUUACCAUCGUUAAUUAGGGAUUUAAGAAUAUUUUUUUAUUUUACUAACUGUAUAGUUUUAUUGGGUACAGGCAUUAAGUAAAAAAAAAAUAU